UUUCAUUUCAUAUUUAAAUAUUAUUAGUACACAUUACAAAUUCCAACACUCCAACAAACAAGAGAUGACAAAUCCCACUCUCAUAACUGAAUAAUCUAAAUUAAAUACAUAAAAAUUUCUGCCACAUCCAAUCAGAUGCCUACUAGUUGUGGCUAAAUUUAACAUUUCUAGAAGCUAAAAUGAAAAGGAUGAUUGCCUCUACUAUUUGAACAUAAGUAGUGCAAUUACGUUAACACAGCAGUAGCUUCUCCAUUCUCCAUUCAAUAGUGGAUGGGUUAGAAUACAAGUGAAGUUGAGGAAAAAGAAACUUCAAACACAUUGAUCAAAUCUGCAAAUGAAUACAUGGAAAAGGGAAAACAAAUUGCCUGUUAAUUUCCAACCAUGAGAGAGAAACAAUGGUUAACAGAAAUAAACUUUUAUCAAAUUCACAACACAAAACUCAAA
rnacentral:lncRNA from 1 species